GGAUAACCUGCCCUGCGGUGGGAAAUAACCCCGGGAAACUGGGGAUAAUGUCCCAUAGGCUACGGAUACUGGAAUGUUCUGUAGUCAAAAGAUUUAUCGCCACAGGAUGGGUCUGCGGCCGAUUAGGUAGUUGUUGGGGUAAAGGCCCAACAAGCCUUUGAUCGGUACGGGUUGUGGGAGCAAGAGCCCGGAGAUGGAUUCUGAGACACGAAUCCAGGCCCUACGGGGCGCAGCAGGCGCGAAAACUUUACAAUGCGGGAAACCGUGAUAAGGGAACUCCGAGUGUCCGUAAAUUCGGACUGUCCGUAUGUUUAAAAAGCAUACGAAGAAAGGGCCGGGCAAGACCGGUGCCAGCCGCCGCGGUAAUACCGGCGGCUCGAGUGGUGGCCACUAUUACUGGGCUUAAAGCGUUCGUAGCUUGGUUGUUAAGUCUCUUGGGAAAUCUAUCGGCUUAACCGAUAGGCGUCCAGGGGAUACUGGCAAUCUA
rnacentral:rRNA from 1 species